GACGAACGCUGGCGGCGUGCUUAACACAUGCAAGUCGAACGGAAAGGCCAGUGCUUGCCCUGGUACUCGAGUGGCGAACGGGUGAGUAACACGUGGGUGAUCUGCCUUGCACUCUGGGAUAAGCUUGGGAAACUGGGUCUAAUACCGGAUAUGAACUGCCUUUAGUGUGGUGGUUGGAAAGUUUUUUCGGUGCAAGAUGAGCUCGCGGCCUAUCAGCUUGUUGGUGGGGUAAUGGCCUACCAAGGCGUCGACGGGUAGCUGGCCUGAGAGGGUGUACGGCCACAUUGGGACUGAGAUACGGCCCAGACUCCUACGGGAGGCAGCAGUGGGGAAUAUUGCACAAUGGGCGGAAGCCUGAUGCAGCGACGCCGCGUGGGGGAUGACGGCCUUCGGGUUGUAAACUCCUUUCGACAGGGACGAAGCGUAAGUGACGGUACCUGUAGAAGAAGCACCGGCUAACUACGUG
rnacentral:rRNA from 1 species